GUUUUAUGGUCCAGCACGGGAUUUAUGAUCUGCAGUCGAGCGAACAGAAGGGAGCUUGACUUCCCGGAUGUUAGCGGCGGACGGGUGAGUAACACGUGGGUAACCUGCCUGUAAGACUGGGAUAACUCCGGGAAACCGGAGCUAAUACCGGAUAGUUCCUUGAACCGCAUGGUUCAAGGAUGAAAGACGGUUUCGGCUGUCACUUACAGAUGGACCCGCGGCGCAUUAGCUAGUUGGUGGGGUAAUGGCUCACCAAGGCGACGAUGCGUAGCCGACCUGAGAGGGUGAUCGGCCACACUGGGACUGAGACACGGCCCAGACUCCUACGGGAGGCAGCAGUAGGGAAUCUUCCGCAAUGGACGAAAGUCUGACGGAGCAACGCCGCGUGAGUGAUGAAGGUUUUCGGAUCGUAAAGCUCUGUUGUUAGGGAAGAACAAGUGCGAGAGUAACUGCUCGCACCUUGACGGUACCUAACCAGAAAGCCACGGCUAACUACGUGCCAGCAGCCGCGGUAAUACGUAGGUGGCAAGCGUUGUCCGGAAUUAUUGGGCGUAAAGGGCUCGCAGGCGGUUUCUUAAGUCUGAUGUGAAAGCCCCCGGCUCAACCGGGGAGGGUCAUUGGAAACUGGGAAACUUGAGUGCAGAAGAGGAGAGUGGAAUUCCACGUGUAGCGGUGAAAUGCGUAGAGAUGUGGAGGAACACCAGUGGCGAAGGCGACUCUCUGGUCUGUAACUGACGCUGAGGAGCGAAAGCGUGGGGAGCGAACAGGAUUAGAUACCCUGGUAGUCCACGCCGUAAACGAUGAGUGCUAAGUGUUAGGGGGUUUCCGCCCCUUAGUGCUGCAGCUAACGCAUUAAGCACUCCGCCUGGGGAGUACGGUCGCAAGACUGAAACUCAAAGGAAUUGACGGGGGCCCGCACAAGCGGUGGAGCAUGUGGUUUAAUUCGAAGCAACGCGAAGAACCUUACCAGGUCUUGACAUCCUCUGACAACCCUAGAGAUAGGGCUUUCCCUUCGGGGACAGAGUGACAGGUGGUGCAUGGUUGUCGUCAGCUCGUGUCGUGAGAUGUUGGGUUAAGUCCCGCAACGAGCGCAACCUUUGAUCUUAGUUGCCAGCAUUUAGUUGGGCACUCUAAGGUGACUGCCGGUGACAAACCGGAAGGAAGGUGGGGGAUGACGUCAAAUCAUCAUGCCCCUUAUGACCGGGGCUACCACCGUGCUACAAUGGACCAGACCAAAGGGCUGCCAAGAACCCAAGGGUUUAGCCAAUCCCUUAAAUCUUGUUUCCAUUUUGGAUCCAAAUCUCGGAACCCCAAUGCGUGGAAACUGGGAUCCCUUUUAAAUCCCGGGAUCACAAUGGCCCCGGUGGAAACAAUUUUCCCGGGCCUUUUAACAACGGCCUCGUCCUACCCCGAAGGUUUGUGACCACCACAGCCCGGGAGGGGGAACCUUUAUAUGGCCACCCCCACAUGGGGGACAAUUGGGGGGAUGAAGGCUUUUUUAAAAGGGGUGACAGACAAAAAAAGGGUGGGAGGGGGGGGGCGCGCGGGGG
rnacentral:rRNA from 1 species